GAAAAUGUCAAGUUGAACAUUCAUCAUCUCAGACAUGCCGAAGUGGAUUCUAGUGUAUACUGUACCUAUUCCGACUCCAUAAUUCUACACAGGGUAAUAUAGUAGAUAUCGAGCAUCCGUGGAUGAAACUCAUGUAACUUCUGCGUGGAACUCUCUUUUUCUUCUCAUAGUAGAAACAACAUCAUUACAGAAGACAAUGAAAAUAGGUAUAAGGUACUGGAAAAAUGGAUUGCUGAAGCAUGGCCUGUUAAUUGCACGGACCCUGAAA
rnacentral:misc_RNA from 1 species